rnacentral:lncRNA from 1 species
UCGCCAUGGCAUGAAAUGCUAGGCGCCGUGGUCGUAGGUGUCGCGGUAGAGGAGGGGAGAAAACAACGGGCGCGUGCGGCGUGGGACCCUCGGUCUCCACGGCCGCCAGCCAUCCCCAGCCCCUCCGGCGGGGCUGCAGGCCUCCGCGCGAGAGGUGCGACGCUGGCCCCAAGGCCUCCUCCUUGGUGGGGCAUGGCAGCCGCCGAUGCGAGGAACAGGAGGGCCUUGCGGCCAGAGAGCUGUGGGAGCCCAUCGGCCACCACGACGAGCGCCCUGCAGGGAGCCACGCGAGGGGCUGCGGGAGCAGAGCCGCGCUAGGGAAAGAAAGGUGCGGUGCUGGGUUCCCAGGACCCUCCUCGGCGAGGCAUGGAAGCCGCCGGCGCGAGGGAGAGCUGCAGCCGUCGGCGCGAGACACUGCUGUCGCGACGCGCUCGGGGAAGGAGAGGACCGAGAGAGAGCGGCACUGUGGGAGGGAAAUGACGCUAGGGUUUCCCCUCCUGCCGGCUCCCCCCCAUUUUUGUUCUACCUAUGAGCGUGGGGAGCCGUUGGAUGAGCCUGAACGGCCAAGAUCUUCCCAGCGAAACCCUAUAUGACGGUCGGGCCUGUUGGGCUGCAUUCGCACCAGGCCCGGGGGAGAAAGGCCAGGCCACAGGCCGGCCCAGGCGAAGGCCUGAGGGAGGCGCGCCGCGCCAG